rnacentral:sRNA from 1 species
UCCGAAUUCUGGCCCUUGACCUCGGGCAAC